CAUGAGCCUGAUGUGUUUUACAGCACCAAACACGACGCAGACAACAAGGAGGAACCCAUGUGAUGUUUGUGUCCGAAAGGAAGCAGCCAAUCGAGUUUCCAGGAAAAGAAGAGUGGUGAUUAUGUUGUCGGGAAAACGGGAACAAGCUUUUAUUUUCCUCAGCACUGAGCUUUCCAUUUAGCGAGAACAAAAGCCGACCACAAAUCACACUGGAAAGCUUCCCGGAUGUCCCGCAAACAUCCUCGUCCACUCUCUCACAGAUUGAGUCGUGUACGUCACGAGGCUCUUAAUUACUUCCAUCCCAGUCUUCAUUUAAGGGUUAACCCAGCCCGCCCGGGGCCUCCCUGUUUGUGUGUGUGUUCUCUCGGAUGCUCGGCGUGGUAACGAUGUGUUUGAAGGUAAUCCUCUCAGCCGCUGCCUUUAAAAAGCAGAGAAGAAAGAGGGGAGGGGAUGCCCCAUUGUGCCUGCACAGAGCUUUCAAACAAAGGCGGCCAUUUUGCCGUGACUCCUUAGCAACAAGGUGGCCUCGCGAGGACUCGCCACUCCUGCUCCAAUUUGUUUGGUUUCCUACACUUUCAGGCGUCUUUGUGUGCACGUUCCCUCGCACUUUACUCCAUUUCGUCCUAAGUCCCUCUUUCCUGCUUUACUUACAAAGAUUUAUGUAAAAUCCAGGAGCAAACAUCAAAUUUUAAAGAGUUUGCGGCUCCUUAAAGGUGAACAACUUGUUUUUAAUGUUUUUAUGCUUCGUGACGACAAUCUUUGGGUUUGAGGGCAGUUGAACUAAACAGGACACUUAAAUCAUUUAAAAGUGCUUGAAAACAUUCACAGUCUGUGUCCUUGAAGCUGAAACAUCCAAACUGCUAACAGCUGGAAACAGCCGCAGCUACAGGUUUGUACUGUGUGUCUAUUUCCACACAAAUUUGAUCUUUUCUUCUCUCUUCAUGUCUUUUCAUGUCCGUCCUGAGAGCUGUGGCAGUAAAGUACCCCGGCUGAGGAUCGCUGCUCUAUUAUGUCCUCAUUUAAAGCCCAUACAUGUGCAGCAGGGAGCCGUGAUCCUGUAUGUGUGCAUUCAUGCCUGCCUGCCUUUGUCAGUAAUCCCGAGCUGUAAAGUGGUGACUGCUGGCUCUUCAUUUCCUCGCAACCAUUCACAGUCCUGCUCAAACACGUCCUCUGAGUCACAUUAGAGGAAUUACGCUCAUUCAAGCCUCCGUGUGGACCCGUAUGAGUCAGGCUGAUUCAAUCAGGUAAACCAGCAUGACUCACAGCCCUUCAUUUUGUUAUAUUUGACAUCAUUCCCCCGAGGCUCGUUUUACUUCGAUUUGUGGUUACAGAUGGUUUUAAAAGCCCCGAAAACCUGAUUUCUCUGCUUCUUGCUACAAAAACACGUUUUCUUGCCUCACUCGAGGGAUUUCAGUGAUUUAUUGUCAGGUUUUAUGUGUUUAGUCACUGAUAUUACUCCUGUCAAACUUAAGGAACGUUAAUGGCCCGAACCUUAGUCUGUGGAGUGGGUGUGGGCCUUUUUCUAAAAACAGGAACACUUUCUUCUCUUGCAUUUUUCAAGUUCCACACAAACAAAACAAGUAAGAGUACAUUUUGUCCUUCCAUGUCCUGGGGUGUUGAAAAAGCUCCCCUUCCUGGUUCCUCUGACCUUUAACCCCUGCGUGGUGUAACUUGGACGCUUGCGUCCCGGAGGGCUAAAAGAAAAGAAGUGUACGCCUCUCAGGCUGACUGAGGCCUGUCCCAGCAGGUCCGGCGUAUUCGGGAGCACAGUAAAGAUCAAACACUCGAGGAUUGAGUUACGUAAGGCCUCCGAUGUUACUGUCACAUCUGCGACAUUAUUCCACUUUUACUAUAAUUUCCCGGAGCUGGGACGGGGCUCAGGCCGACAGGCCAACAAAAACAACCACGGUGUUCCACAUCCAGGAAAAACAAACAUCAGAGCCAAGGAUGAGCACCGGAAGUCUCAGUUUCUGUAAAAACUGUCCAACGUCAGCCUGAAAACAGCUCGGUAGGGAACACAGAGUGUGUGUGUGUGUGUGUGUGUGUGUGUGUGUGUGUGUGUGUGUGUAAGAGUCCGUCACCAUUUACCUCAUUUUGCUGAUGUUCGAGUAAAUGUUCAAAAACAAUCCCUGCCUCCCUCCUGACUCUCCUGAGAAACAGCUGACCCUUUUCUGAAAAUAACUGGAGUAAAAUUUUACCUUCAUGCUUCAAAUAUUUGCAAAGUUAUGGGCUCUCAAAAUAAUUACUUGGCAUCAUUUCUGGUCUCACAUAAGCAGCAUCGUUUCCAGAGUGAGAAACACAUUUAACCUGUUUAAAAACUGCAGAAAAUGUAGAUAAAGUGGAUUUUAUACCCACUUUUUGAUUAUAGAUUGUGUUCUUGGUGCGAGUUAGUUAUUCAUGCUGCGACUCAGAGGUAAAACAUGCCGGAUGAAGCUGGAUAUUGAGACUGAUCUGUUAAUCAGCUGUGACUGUAUGUUGACAGUGUGUUAAUGAGUGAGGGACGGAGGGUUAAUUUGACUGAGCGGUCUGAUAAAGCUGACCUUAGAUCUGUUUAUGUCCAAAUAUAGCCAAAAGGCCAGAAGUUUCCUACUAGGUCAAGUAAAAAUAUCCCAGAUGUUUACUUAAAUGCACAAAGAACAAAUAUGCUGAUUUGUUUCCGAUGAAUAUUUCCUGUUUUCCUGCUCGCAGGCUGAUGUUUAAACAGAUAAGACCCCUCAGUGUCUUCCCUGUAGUCUAACGGCCUGUAAUGUCUGAUUCAAGGCGGCAAUAUGCUGCCUGGGGGAGUGACAUUAAAGUGCUGGAAGAUAGAGGAUGCAAGCUUCAGUAAGAGCUCGAGUCGCUGCAGGCAUCCAGCCUUUUUUCUCCAUUAGUUGAGGAUUCGGUCAGAGAUGUGACAGGAUGAGCUCGGCAGCAGCAGGAAGUGACCAAUAAAAGCUGCACAGAUAAGAUCAAACUCUCAGGAGGGGCUCAUCAAAGCUCAAUUAGCCCCGUCAGCAGAGAAUAAAUCGGCCCUGUCUGCUGCACAGCUGGCUGACUGUACAGCCUUAUCUAAGAAGUCUCACAGAAAACAGGCUCUUUAUCACACUGGAUUUGACUCAUUUCACUGACUAAUAUUUGUCUUUAUUCAUUGAAGGACAAUAGUAACUGACUCAAAGUGAAGCUUACUGCUCUGGUGAUUUCAGGAGUUUACUUUACGCUUGCUUCUUGACAAAAGAGGAAACAUUUUAGUUUUCACAAAGACGUUGUUAAUUAUACGGAGAGUAACACGCCUUUUCUUUUACAGGGAUCGUGCCAACUCAUCCAUUUCCAAACGUUAAAAGGAGCAGAUGUCAGAAGCACAAUUUAAUCAAAACAGAAACAUGCAGGUGUGUAUGAAGGCAGUUUGUUAUAGUGCUUGAUGGUGACUGAAAGAGGAAGCAUACACAGUGGGAGUUUAAUUUUACUCUUCGUUUCUACAAGAGAGUUGUAGUGUUCUCAGUUCACAGCAUGUGAAGUUGAGUUUCUUUGCUAAGACCCACAGUCAGAGGUCUUUCCUGGCCUGUGGGUCCAUUAAAGGAGACCAGAAACUCAUUCAAACAUCCAAAACCUCCAAAGUUAAUCAUUGAUUAACUCAGUGGAUUAAAAAUGAAUGUAGCAUCCUGUGCAGGUAGUAAAAGGUUAAUGUGACGGUUGCGGUCUAUAGUCGCGAGGUAGACCUCACACACACCACAUCAAAAAGGCGCUGUACUGCUGAAAUGCAUUCGAAUAAGGGAAAACCCUCACGCCACCCAAAAGCAGCCUGUGAGCUCUGCUGAGUGGGUAGGUGCCGUUUGUGGUGUAUCAGCUGGGUUUUGUUUGUAGGAAGUAAAUUUCCAGAAGCCGACAAACACAAUGAGCCGUUAUCAAAAGAGAAUCAGCAAAAAUCCCAUAAUCCUCAUGCCUGUGACUAAAGGGCCAAUUCAAAGUUUGGGGAAAGAUGAUGGUUAAUGGUUACACACGCAGUUCAAGAAAAAAAUGUUUGAAAUUAUCAUCGCACACCUUUUCUAGCCCACUGUGUUGGAUUUUGAUGGCAUCACCUGAGGCUUUAUGCAUUUAUGACCAUCUUCUAACAACUAACAGAGUAAUCAGUAGUGAAAGCAAUGGAUAGUAGCAGCCGCACAUAAAUAAUUACCAAAAAAGCCCCAUUACAGAUACAUUAGAAAUAUUGGGUCGAUAUCAUUUGGCUGUCUGGCCGCCUGCCUUUGGGUGGUGUGCUUUGAUUAUCAUUCCUCAUGCCCGAUACAUGUGCUGUGGACGGGUGCUGGAAACAGUCUGGCUGCAAUCCUGAAACAAACAUGUGCAAGUGGAGGACGAGGAGACUGAGACAGCACAGGCUGACAUCAAAAGGCCUCCCUCCGAGGCUCGCCGUUCCCAGAGGAAUCACGGCGAGGCUCACGUUCCCCUGACAUUUAAAAAAAAUAAAUAAAAGCUCCUGACUGGAGCGCUGUCUACGCAUGCACUGCGUAAACUCCCCGAGACAACAACGUGAUCAGCAUACUGACCCCCUGCCAACCAGCUAGCUCCAGCCUUUCCCCUCUCUCGUUCCAGUAGGACCUCACGAGUGAAGUUGCAUUUGCUGGUGCUCAUGGAGCGCUAAAGGUAACCUCCCAGCUCUACCAUCGCGGACUACAGCUGGUAAUAAGAGUCCUUCUCCAUCCAGUUGGCAAGAAAAUCCCCAGAAUAAAACAAGCCUUGCCAAUUGUAGUCAUAGACGAUGAAGAAGCAGCAGAGGUUUGCUGUUAUUUAAUUAAAAAUAGUAAAAACACAACUUUCAGGCCCGAAAGCAAUGUCUAAACUUCUCCAGUCAUUACGAGUUACCAAUGUAAGAUUUUUGAAGUACUAAACACAACUUAAUGCA